rnacentral:siRNA from 1 species
AAGUGGUGCUAGUACUUCAAAACC